rnacentral:rRNA from 1 species
GAUGAACGCUGGCGGCGUGCCUAAUACAUGCAAGUCGAGCGAACAGACGAGGCGCUUUCCCCUCUGACGUUAGCGGCGGAAGGGUGAGUAACACGUGGACAAACUACCUAUAAGAAUGGGAUAACUUCGGGAAACCGGAGCUAAUACCGGAUAAUAUAUUGAACCGCAUGGCUCAAUAGUGAAAGACGGUUUUGCUGUCACUUAUAGAUGGAUCCGCGCCGGAUUAGCUAGUUGGUAAGGUAACGGCUUACCAAGGCAACGAUGCGUAGCCGACCUGAGAGGAUGAUCGGCCACACUGGAACUGAGACACGGUCCAGACUCCUACGGGAGGCAGCAGUGGGGAAUCUUCCACAAUGGGCGAAAGCCUGACGCAGCAACGCCGCGUGAAUGAUGAAGGUCUUCGGAUCGUAAAACUCUGUUAUUAGGAAAGAACAAAUGUGUAAGUAACUAUGCACGUCUUGACGGUACCGAAUCAGAAAGCCACGGCUAACUACGUG